rnacentral:misc_RNA from 1 species
GUGAGUCAUCGAAUCUUUGAACGCAUAUUGCACCCUCUGGUAUUCCGGGGGGUACACCUGUUCGAGCGCCAUUUCAAACCCUCAAGCAUAGCUUGGUGUUGGGGUAGGGUCUCAGGGGACCCCCCCAUAACUUGUAGGCGGUCACCGCCCGCACCCUUAGCGUAGCAAGCUCACGCACUCGCUAGGGGUCAGCGUGUGAUCAUGCCAAACCAACAAACCAUUUCUAAAGGUUUGGCCUCGGAUCAGGUGGGGAUACCCGCUGAACUUAAGCAUAUCAAUAAGCGGAGGA